AUGCUUUUUGAUCGAUCGCAUUGCAAUGCACUGUUUUGAUCGAAGUAUUAAAUAUUUUUGUCUCUUCAAAUAGGCCUUGGAAGCCUUCGAUCGCUACAUAUCCUCGGAAAAUGAGUGUGCAAGUUUCAAAGUGGACAAAGUUUUUCAUGAAAGCUGGUGUUCCAAGCGGACCUGCCAACAAUUAUGCAGUUAUAUUUUAUGACAACAGGAUCCAGGAAGACAUGUUACCAGAUCUAUCAAAGGUUUGACUUUAGCAAAUUGUGGGUUGCAAAACAGGGCUCUGCGUGCAGAACAUUCUCCAUUUUAAACAUAUCUGUGGUGAUGUUACAUCAAACUUAACCUUUUCCUUUCUCAGCUGCACAGAUCAGCAAACAAUAUAUUGACUUUGGCAACAACCUGAUGGCUGCAAAUGUACUUGUUUGCUGUCUGUUGUUUACUCACAUCACCUGGAAUGGUUUGAAUAUGUUCUCCUUGUGAGUUUUUCCAUUAUUUUUUUCUUUUGCCGCCAAGACUUAGUUUUCCAAUAAUUACUUUCUUUAAUGCCUCAAAUGAGCCCCCAAGUGAUACCCA